rnacentral:rRNA from 1 species
GACGAACGCUGGCGGCGUGCUUAACACAUGCAAGUCGAACGGAAAGGCCCUGCUUUUGUGGGGUGCUCGAGUGGCGAACGUGUGAGUAACACGUGAGUAACCUGCCCUUGACUUUUGGAUAACUUCAGGAAACUGUGGCUAAUACCGGAUAGGAGCUCCUGCUUCAUUGUGGGGGUUGGAAAUUUUCGGCGGUUGGGGAUGGACUCGCGGCUUAUCAGCUUGUUGGUGGGGUAGUGGCUUACCAAGGCUUUGACGGUUAGCCGGCCUGAGAGGGUGACCGGACACAUUGGGACUGAGAUACGGACCAGACUGCUACGGGAGGCAGCAGUGGGGAAUAUUGCACAAUGGGCGGAAGCCUGAUGCAGCAACGCAGAGGGCGGGAUGACGGCCUUCGGGUUGUAAACCGCUUUCGCCUGUGACGAAGCGUGAGUGACGGUAAUGGGUAAAGAAGCACCGGCUAACUACGUG